CCGCACAAGCGGUGGAGCAUGUGGUUUAAUUCGAUGCAACGCGAAGAACCUUACCUACUCUUGACAUCCAGAGAAUUCGCUAGAGAUAGCUUAGUGCCUUCGGGAACUCUGAGACAGGUGCUGCAUGGCUGUCGUCAGCUCGUGUUGUGAAAUGUUGGGUUAAGUCCCGCAACGAGCGCAACCCUUAUCCUUUGUUGCCAGCGAGUAAUGUCGGGAACUCAAAGGAGACUGCCGGUGAUAAACCGGAGGAAGGUGGGGAUGACGUCAAGUCAUCAUGGCCCUUACGAGUAGGGCUACACACGUGCUACAAUGGCAUAUACAAAGAGAAGCGAACUCGCGAGAGCAAGCGGACCUCAUAAAGUAUGUCGUAGUCCGGAUUGGAGUCUGCAACUCGACUCCAUGAAGUCGGAAUCGCUAGUAAUCGUAGAUCAGAAUGCUACG
rnacentral:rRNA from 1 species